GUCAAAAGGAACACUUGACAGAGGAGCUUCCCUCAUUUUCAGGCAUCCAACAGAGUUACUCUGAUGGCUGCAGAUGCAUGUGUUCCAGUUCAAGAAACAUUAAACAACCAUCCCAAUUAAGAGAGAGAGAGAGAGAGAGAGAGAGA